rnacentral:lncRNA from 10 species
UCCCCUUCCCCCCUCCUCUUCUUCUUCUUCUUCUUCUUUCUUCCUUUCUCCUUCUUCUUUUUUUUUGAGACAGGGUCAGACUCUGUCACCUAGGCUGGAAUGCAGUGGUGUGAUCGUGGCUCACUGCAGUCCGCACUUCCCAGGCUCAGGUGAUCCUCCCACCUCAGCCUCCCAAAUAGCUGGGACCACAGGCAUGUGCCACAGUGCUUGGCUAAUUUUUUCUAUUUUUUGUAGAGACAGUGUCUUGCCAUAUUGUCCAGGCUUGAGCUCAAACUCUUGGGCUCAAGUGAUCCUCCCGCCUUGGCUUCCCAAAGUGCUGGGAUUACAGGUGUGAGCCACCGCACCUGACCUCUCUAAUAAUAACCUUUAAUAGUGGAAGGCCUCUAGGGCUCUGACUUAGACACUCAUUUCACCUUUGUCCAAGAUGGUCUCCUUCACUGUUAGGACCUCCGAGCUCCAGAGCCACAUGUCCAUCCAGCCGCCUGACUUAACAGCUCCAUAUGGCUGUCCACAGCCACCUUGGAUGCUACUUGAACUCUCAUCUUCCUCCCCCAAGCUGUCCCGGAGUGCUGCCAUCCCCUGGGUUGUUCAAGCCCAAAACCUUGCUUGACUCCCUCCUUCCCCUCGUUUCCCCACCCAAGCCCCGUUGAUUCUCUCUUCUGCAUUUUUCAUCAACCUACCUGCUUUCAUUCCCUCUAUCAACAGGUUGAUCCAAACUAACAUUCCCGCCUCACAUGAAGUAGCGUCCUGCUUGGUGUCUCUACACACCAUCUUGCUCUCGGCCGACCUCUCCCCUCCCGCAGCUGGAAAAACCUUUGAAUUACGUAGAUUUAUGCCGCUUCUCAUGCUCUUUUCCUUAGCUUCCCUGUGAUCCACCUGGCCUUGCCCUCAGCCCAGUGACAGCCUCAGACUGCCAGACCUCUUGCUACCUCAGAGCUUUUCCUUGUGCUGUCCCCCUGCCUGGAUUGAUGUCUCUCUCCCUGCUCUGUCUACUUAAGAACUCAGUCUCUGGGUCCACUUGACAAGGCAUAUUCUUGGGGAAGCUUGAAUGAAGCCCAAAGGAGACCAGGUACCCUGUUAGACAUUCUCAGCAUGUGAUUUGUUUAAAGAUUAUCUUCCCUCCUAGGCUGUAAGCAUUUUAAGGAUAGGGAUCACACCAGUCUUCACCGUUGUAUUACCAGCACCCUGCAUAGGGUGGGAGGUUAGGACAGCCGAGUAGUAGGAAAUGCUGGCUGCCUGGAUUCAAAUUCCACUGCCACUGCUUUCUAGUGUUGUGAUUUUGAGCACGUUGACUUAAGCUCUCAAAUACCUGCCUCUGAAGAGUUACUGUGAAGACCAAAUGAUAAUGUGUGUAAAGAAUUUACUAUGGUCCUUGGCACAUAGUAUUCAGUAAAUAUUAGCUGUUAGGAUUAUCAAGGUGCCGAUAAAUAUUUGCUGAAAGACUGCUUUUCGAAGAGUGUGUGCUCAAUAAAUACUUCCAGGUAUUUUGCACAUAGGUGUUAUUGCACCGAACCCUAUUGCUUGUGUAUUACAGUCCAUACACAAUGUCUAGCACAAAGCAGGCAUUCAGUGAAAGAAUGGGAGCAGUGAACUACAAAUGCAAGUGUGAGAACCCUGCAAAAGUGUGGAUGUAAUCACUGAGUGCUGAUAAGAAAUACUAGAGUAUUAUAUAGUAUAUUGCUCUUCACUUAUUCCUGCUUCUGUGUUAGAGGCACUGUGAGAAGAGGGCUUGCGAGAUAAGCUAUGUCUCUUUUACCGUCAACUGUCUACUCAGUGCGCAGUCCUGUGCCUGGCACAUUUGGGGAAUGCAAUAUUUUUUUUUCAAUGAAUGAAAGAAUAAAAAAAUGAAUGAAAACAGAAUUUGGAGUCUGAAUAACUGAGUUUGAGCCCCAGCUUCUUUCCUGAGUUAAUCUCCUAGGUUUCAAUAUCCUCAUUUGAAAAAUUGAGAAAGUUAACAUUCAUUUUUCAAUGAAAUAAGGAGAGAAUCCUGUUUAUGUUAACGUGCUACACAAAUACUAGUUAAAAAAGUUAAGCAUCCCCCAUCAUUUCUGGAAAGAAAAAUAAUCUUCUUAAUGUAACAAUAAAUCUUGUUUCAAAGAAGUUUGCGUUUACUCUGAUAAAACGGAUAGAAGAUCUUGGAUCACAGCCAACUUCUGAUGUAAAGGAAAAGGUGUUGGGCAAGGCCCUGUUCCCAAGGGCGGUGCUGGCUCGCUCACCUCUGUUCUUGGAUGCCACACUGUGCAGCCUGAGGGCUUUGACUUGCUGUGAAGUAUUGGGCAUUUCUCUCUAUGGUUCUUUUUCAUCAGGCAUCCUGGAGCCCAUGCACCUUAAACUUUGCCAGCCUCUGCUGGCCCUGAUCCCUUGUCUCUCAGGACACAGCUCAAAUACCACCUCCUCCAGCUCACCUCACGGUGAUGUUUCUAUUGUCCAGGCUGGAGUGCAGUUGAUUUAAGCUCACUGCAGCCUGGAACUCCUGGAUUCAAGCGAUCCUCCCACCUCAGCCUCCUGAGUAGCUGGAACUACAGGUGAGUGCCACCACACCUGGCUACUUAAAUUUUUUUUGUAGAGAUGGGGUCUCGUUGUGUUGCCCAGGCUGGUCUUGAACUCCUGGCCUCAAGCAGUCCUCCCACCUUGGUCUUCCAAAGUGUUGGGAUUACAGGCAUGAGCCACCGCACCAGGACAACCAAAUUCAAAUUUGUAAGAUGGCUUUCAAAGCCCUAUGUGAUGUCAUUCCAGUCCAUCUCUCCAGAAACUCACCUCUGGCUCCCUGUGCUGUAAAGGGCCUUUCCCCUACUUUCCUUAAUACCUCUCGUUCUUCAGUUCUUGGUGUAGAUAUUCAUCUUCAGGGAUGUCUUCCCUACUCCAGCUCCCUCGUAUUCCCUCCGAGAACUCUCUAUACCCUUCCUCAUGACACUCAUCCCAAAUGUAAUUGGCAAAAUUACUUUUGAGACACUAAGUGCCAUGAGGGCAGGUAUCUGUCUUAUUUUUCAUUGUACUCCUAGCACCUAAAACAGACCUUCCAGUUUAUUGAAUGGAUGGCACAUAGUAGGGCUCAAUAAAUGGAUCCCCCCAUUUUCUGCUUUCUCAUUUCCUUUGAGAAUCAAGCCUUACUUUGGGACUAGGCCACCCUGUCAAGUGAGACAGGUCGUGUUUUCUCUGUCACCUAAGAAGACCCACUUGAGUUAGACUGCAUUCCAGUCCAGGGCGAAAGAAAGAAAAAAAGAGCUGAAAAGGCCACCCCAGAACUGCACUAGAGAGAAGCCCAGAGUAAGUUCAUAAAAUUUGCUAAAUCAAAUGACAGAUGCCUUUCUUAGGCGGGUGUGUACUGUUCAGGGUGAAAUAAAGCCAUCCAAACUCCUUUUCAGCCAUUCCCUUCACAAAGCACAGCCCAAAUGGCUUUGCACACUCAUGUCUGUGUUUUGUCAGGUAAAGAUUCCUGUUUCGCCUCUUGCUAGCAUCCAUCUGUUCAUCCAGGCAAGGCUGCCCCACCCUGACACACAAAGGAGGGACUAGCUGAAGAAUCAACCAUAUGGUCAGCAAUGACUAAAACCACCCAUUCCAGCAGGCUUGGCUAAGAAAGCUAAUAUUUGAAAAGCUGUGGUUUGAGGAACUAGGUGAGUUAUGGGAAAUUCUAAUUUGUUUUAUAUCUUGUAGAUGGUACUUCAGUUAAAAGUUAUAAACCACAGACACACAUGGCUUAUGCAGGACCAUUUUUUCUGUUCCUGAUCUGUCCCUCUUCAUUGUGUGAAGCUGGAUGGUUCGUGUUUACUUCACAGCUCCUAAAGUUGAAGAUACUGAGUAUUUAAAGAUAUAAAUGUUUAAUUAAAAAAUUAUUAGCUUUUAACCUUGUAACAUACUCAGGUUUGGAGUAGAAAGGUACUGCAGUACAGUGUUAGGAGCCCAGUGACAAAGAAUUCCCAGGAUAAUGACUGGAUGUCAUUUCCAUGAAGAGGCUUGCUGCUGGCCUAUACUGCCAGCUUAAGCAAACUGGGAAAAGAUGUGUCCUCUGAGAUGUAACCCUAUCUUUGGCAGGCUGAGCACAGGCUAGAUUUCAGCCUCUCAUUCACCCUCCUUCCUCUCUCAACUGGGUGCCUUUGUGUAGUACGUAAACUCUAUAAUUACACACGGUAGCCCUGCCUUUAUAUGAAUGUAUAGAUUUUAAAAAUAUAAAUCAGGGAUGAAACACUACCAGUAGUCUUAUUCAAAACAAUAUUAUUUAAUUUAAUAUUUUCACCUAUGAGAGGUAAUGAAUGCAG